rnacentral:lncRNA from 10 species
GCUGGUCGUGCAUGGGCUGAAGCAAUCUACUUGCACUGGCCUCCCAAAUUGCUGGGAUUGUAGACAUAAGCCAUCAUAUGUGGCCACAAAAAAGUUUUUAAAAGUUAGCAAAUGCUUUGUAAAUGAUAAUUAUUUUAUUUGAUUAUCUCAGCAACCAUAAGGUAUAAGUAGCAUUAUGAUCUCCUCUAUUAGUCCAUUCUCACACUGCUAU